UAAAAUAUUGAUAUAUAAAUAUAAUAUUUAUAUAUUAUUAAUAUAUAAUAUUCCCUGUUUCUUUUUUCUCCACUAUAGGGUCCAGAUGGACUCCCAAUGCCUGGAUGUUGGCAGAAGUGAUCGGUCUAACACAAAACGCAUGGAGUUUGUAAAUAAGGCUUCACUUUUUUUGUAAAUACUUUUUUUUUUU
rnacentral:lncRNA from 1 species